GGAAAGACUCAUAUUUUGAAUUCCUUGUUAUUCUUGUAUGCUUUCCGUCUUCUACUCUGAAUAACAUUAAGACUAUAAAAAAACCCAAAACACAUAUCGUUCAACAAAUGUGCAAAGGAUGGGUAAGAGAUAGGGUUUGAAGACAUCGGCCUUUUGCUGGAACGGUUAAACGCUAGCAGCCGGAGAGUUACGAUCGCGGCGGCAAAAUGGGUAGGAGAUAAGGGUUUAUGCAAGUGUAAAUAGUUAUAGAGUUGAAAAGCUUGGGCUUAUUCAUGGUUUAGUAGAAUGAACUUGUCGGAGACAUGAAUCAUAGCUAGCGGCAAAGUCUUGGGAUUUCUUUCUCUAUUCGGUGGGUUAAAUGGGUGGGAGAAUGAGUUUUGGGUUAGUGAAAGGGGUAAAUGGGAUGGGACAAUUGGUCUGACUUUUCU
rnacentral:lncRNA from 1 species